AUUGAACGCUGGCGGCAUGCUUUACACAUGCAAGUCGAACGGUAACAGGCCUUCGGGUGCUGACGAGUGGCGAACGGGUGAGUAAUGCAUCGGAACGUGCCCAGAGGUGGGGGAUAACGCAGCGAAAGCUGUGCUCAUACCGCAUGUGAUCUGAGGAUGAAAGCGGGGGACCAGGCAGCAAUGUUUGGCCUCGCGCCUUUGGAGCGGCCGAUGUCAGAUUAGGUAGUUGGUGGGGUAAAGGCCUACCAAGCCGACGAUCUGUAGCUGGUCUGAGAGGACGACCAGCCACACUGGGACUGAGACACGGCCCAGACUCCUACGGGAGGCAGCAGUGGGGAAUUUUGGACAAUGGGCGCAAGCCUGAUCCAGCAAUGCCGCGUGCGGGAAGAAGGCCUUCGGGUUGUAAACCGCUUUUGUACGGAACGAAAAGGCUCUGGCUAAUACCUUGGGCUGAUGACGGUACCGUAAGAAUAAGCACCGGCUAACUACGUG
rnacentral:rRNA from 1 species